rnacentral:piRNA from 1 species
UGACGUUUACAGAAUCGCAUAUGAGGC